UACGGAGGGUGCAAGCGUUAUCCGGAUUCACUGGGUUAAAGGGUGCGUAGGUGGGUUGGUAAGUCAGUGGUGAAAUCUCCAGGCUUAACUUGGAAACUGCCAUUGAUACUAUCAAUCUUGAAUACCGUGGAGGUCAGCGGAAUAUGUCAUGUAGCGGUGAAAUGCUUAGAUAUGACAUAGAACACCAAUUGCGAAGGCAGCUGGCUACACGAAUAUUGACACUGAUGCACGAAAGCGUGGGGAUCAAACAGGA
rnacentral:rRNA from 1 species